rnacentral:rRNA from 1 species
GUGAGGAAUAUUGCGCAAUGGAGGCAACUCUGACGCAGCCAUGCCGCGUGCAGGAAGAAGGCGCUACGCGUUGUAAACUGCUUUUAACCGGGAAGAAACCCCAGGACGUGUCCUGGGUUGACGGUACCGGAGGAAUAAGCACCGGCUAACUUCGUGCCAGCAGCCGCGGUAAUACGAAGGGUGCAAGCGUUAUCCGGAUUCAUUGGGUUUAAAGGGUGCGUAGGCGGAGCGUUAAGUCAGUGGUGAAAUCCUGCAGCUUAACUGUAGACUUGCCAUUGAUACUGGCGCUCUUGAGUGCGCUUGAAGUGGGCGGAAUGUGCCGUGUAGCGGUGAAAUGCUUAGAUAUGGCACAGAACACCAAUUGCGAAGGCAGCUCACUAAGGCGAUACUGACGCUGAGGUGCGAAAGCGUGGGGAGCAAACAGGAUUAGAUACCCUUGUAGUCC